UACGAAGGGGGCUAGCGUUGUUCGGAUUUACUGGGCGUAAAGCGCACGUAGGCGGAUCGUUAAGUCGGGGGUGAAAUCCUGGAGCUCAACUCCAGAACUGCCUUCGAUACUGGCGAUCUUGAGUCCGGAAGAGGUGAGUGGAACUCCUAGUGUAGAGGUGGAAUUCGUAGAUAUUAGGAAGAACACCAGUGGCGAAGGCGGCUCACUGGUCCGGUACUGACGCUGAGGUGCGAAAGCUAGGGUAGCAAACAGG
rnacentral:rRNA from 1 species